rnacentral:lncRNA from 10 species
CAUAUUUGUGAGAAAAUGAAAUCACAGAAUUUCAAAAUUUUGGGGACGAAGAUAUACAACCUUCCACCAAAUCCAGUUUUCUGGCAAUGGAAAUCAGAGAAACACUGUUCCUGAAAGCUUCUGUCACUCAAGAAUCCAUGAAACAUUCAUGAACUUCACAUCAGAAGCCAAGCCCAGAAAAUAUGGGUUUAAGGUUUGCCUAUAUGUCCAAUACAAGAGAAAAAAGAACAUUCCACUUCUUUAGAAGGUUCUACUUUGAUCUCCUGAUUCCAGUUGUGAAAAAAAAUUGUGCCUAAAGAAUAUAGUCCCUUUAUAGAAUUGUUUUGAAACCUACCACAGGUAUUUCUACACAGGAAGAUUUCUGUAUUUGUCUUCUUAACUCUUGAGUUUUGUUGUUGCUAAUAUUGGAUGAAGAGGAGACAAAAUGAUUGGAUCUAGAGGAGCACCGACAAGCAAAUGGCAGGUGCUAUUGUGGAGGUGCAUACCCAACAGUUUGAUAAUGUAGAGGAAGUGAUAGCUUUGUCUCGUGGAAUCUGGGUCGACCUCACAGAGGAGCUGUUAUUUGUUCUGGAUAUUGAACAGUGACAAGGAUUCAGUGGGAGAGAAAGAGGCGAGGAUUUUAAUGCAACUUGUUACACAAGAUGAACCCAAACAUAUUUGACUUUUUAUUUUCAGAAAAGCUUAAUACAUAGUUUUGAAUAUGGAUUGUCCCACAGGAUAAAUGCAUGAAAAAAGUUGGAAAAGAGAAAUUGAAUUACAUCCUAAUUGUAGUGUUUUCUCAGGCAGAUCAAUUUUAGAAAGAGAACAUUGACUUGGAAAACUGAAGAGUAAUUAUUCUAAAACGGUUGUAACAGUUUACUCCUUUUAUGUUUGCAAACUUCCAGGAUUAGUGAGUUGCAUAAAGUCACAUAAUUUAUUGCGUUGGUGCAAAAGUAAUUGUGGUUUUUGCCAUUAACAAAACCGCAAUUACUUUUGCAUCAGCCUAAUAUAAGUGAAUAAAUUAAUAUUAGAACACAGGUCUAAUUAAAAGGUUCUGCUGUGUUGUGUCCUGUGAUAACACAGAAAACAAACAAAUGGAUAAUUACAGAAAAAUUUUGGAUAUAAAAUUAGCAGGUAAUUUUCUCCCUCCUUUCCUUCCAUCUUUCCAUCCUUCUUUGCUUCCUUUGCUUUCUUCUUUUCCUUUGUUUUUUGUUUCUCUCUCUCUCUUUUUUUUUUUUUUUUUUUUUUUUUGCAAUUUGGAGAAGGAAGUACUUUAAAAGAAAAGUUAAAAGGCAGACAUAGAUAGCAUGAAGCCUAAUUGCAAGAUCUUUUUCAAACAUAUUAGUUUUAGGAAAUAGCACCUGAAUUUAAGUCCCUUAAAAUUGUCUAUGUCUUCACGUCCAAGUCUCUAUAUUUGCAGGGCUGUGUACAAUCUAGACUGAACAUGCUUGACCUAAAAACAGAAGUAAUACCUGGGGCAAAGCACGAUGUGCACCACAGUCUUCUCUCUUUAGUGUGUUAAGAUAAAGUUGAUUCCCAGAGUAGCCUGCCAUCACUAACUCUGAGGGAUGGUGGGCUAAUUUUGAUAGAAGGAGCAGAGGUGGUAGUUAGGAGGAAGGUGACUCAUCAUCAUUGUAUCAGCAGGCAUUGAUGACUGGAAAUAUCAGGGGGCACAGCCUGAAAGAGAAUGGCUUAAUUGGAAUUGAUAGUGGGAACUUGGAAAUCAAUACAUAUGCACUGAACAGAAAAUGGUAUGCUAUAAUCUACUAUACACUGUAUGUGAAACCCAAGCUCCAAAUUUUUCGGCCCAUGCAAUGUCCAGUAAAAUUUCUCUUAGUUACAUUAUAAUUGCAAUGUACAUGUAUUUGAGGAAAAAAAAAGUGAAAGAAAAAGUAACUAAAGAAAAGUGGAAAUGCAAAACUUUGUUUUUAUUAAUGUUAAAAUUUAUUUUGAUCAACUUGCUAUUCUUAAAAUUGACCAAUCUUCUUCCCUUCCUUGCCUCUUCCAUGGUUUAUAGGAUUAUUUUUCAGGGCUGAUCAGUUGGUGUUACAUGUGACUACUAUGCUUAAUGCUAUCUGGCUUCUAACUUUAAGCACUGAAAAAAAGUCCUUCGUAUUUCUCAGUGUGUGAUUGAACUGAGAUGACCAUCCUAAGCCUCCUCAUUACAUAAAUCCUUACCUUCUCCAGAAGCAACGAAUGGUGUUGAGAAUAGCAUAUGUUACUACUCAGCCAUAUUCCAUAGCCUUUUCUCCAAGAUAUUUUUCCAAAGUUGCCCCUUUUCUGAAUCCCUUGCAAGCAAACAAACAACAAAACAAUGGGUAAUAAAAUAAUUGUUUAACUUUCAUUUAUAUGCUCUGAGAUUGAUGUGAUUUUGAUAAAUAACUAUAUUAAAAGACAAAUGGGAGUGGUGAUUUUGUGAAAAGCCCAUGCCUCUGCCCAUGGAAUAUGUGGCUUGGCCUGGAGCUCUUAUUUUACUUAUAUAUUUCUAAGCAGAAUUAUUCAAGAAUGUCUCUUAUUACAGGUCUUGAAACUUGGACAGCCAACAGAAAGGAAGCUAAUAAAUAAAUUUGUCAGAACACGAUUCUCAGUUUCACUUAUUUUGAAUUAAAGGUAACCUGGAAAAUGGAUUAGGAAAACAGCCUAUAAUCAGAGGAGUGACCCCAGUGAGACCCUGUCAUUAAAACUUUAGUGUUGAGCCUGCAAACCUCUGUUCCUCUGAUUAGGCAAUUUACUCCAUUUCCACCUUUCUGUCUGCCAAAACAUUUAGUGGCAAAACAUUUUCUAAUUCUCUAGACUCAUAAAAUGUUGUUUUGAAAAAAAGUAAAACAGAAUGGAUUACCUUUUUAAGCUGUCUAUCAUAAUGUAAUCAGAAAACAUGAGGGAUUAAUAGAUAAUAUUGUAAAGAGGCAAAGGCAGCAGAUGUUAUUUAGAUGAGCAGAAGGUCACAGACCUCUGUUGAGGAUUGAAAGCUUGAGGUACGUGCCUUUGUUCCUCAGUGUGUGUGGAUCAGAGUGAUUACUGAUAUCAGUUAGCAACAUGGUGGAGGGGACAAACUGGGGCUGCAUUUUCACUAUGUUUAUUAUUGCUCAAGGUCAAAAAGUGACUGUGUAGUGCCUCAGUUUUUACAUCUUUGUGUUAUCAAUAUUUUUUUCUAUUACCUUACAAGUUUAUUUUGAUGCUGUAAUGAUGAGACAGUGUUUUGAAAAGUUCUAAAUAAAUAAAAGGGUAUUCUCUAACUUUUAAAUUCUGACUUUGAUAUUUUAAAACUAUAACAGAGUUUCAAAACAUAUGGAGAAAAAACCCAAAUAGAACUCAAAAGAGAAAUGGACAAAUCCGUAAUUUCCAUCAUUAUUAGGGAUUUCAACAUUCCUCUUCCAGUAAUUAAUAAAACAAGCAGACAGAAGUUUAGAAAAACUAUGCAAGACUUGAACAUACUGUUAACCAAAUUGGCCCAGUCCUCCAAUAGUGGAAAUAAAAUGAAAUACUAAAAUAGUCAAACAAAAGGAAGACAGGACAAGAGUUGAACAAGGAUAAAGAAUAGGUGUGACAAAUGAUACAAAUAACAAUCUGGUAAAGUGAAAACCAGCCAUAUCAAUAAUAUAGUAAAGGAAAAUAGUCUAAAUAGAACGGAAAUGUUUAAGAUUUGAAGACUGGAUAUAAACCAAGCUUCAAUGUGAUGAUAUAUACAAGACAGAUAUUAUAAACAUAAAGAUAUAAAAAAUUAAAAAUAAAAGUGUGAAAAUCUAUAUGAUACAAACACUAACCAUAAGAAUGCUGGAGUGGCAUAUUAUAUCAGACAAAGAGAGUAUUAAAGUAGAUAUAGAAGAACAUUACAUAUUGAUAAAAGAAAAUGCCAGUUAGGUCAAGUUAUUGAUGGUAUUUAUCA